GCCGAGGUGGCGGAAUUGGUAUACGCGUACGCUUGAGGUGCGUAUCCCGCAAGGGGUGCAGGUUCAAGUCCUGUCCUCGGCACCA
rnacentral:tRNA from 1 species